GAUGAACGCUGGCGGCGCGCCUAACACAUGCCAGUCGAACGAUUAAAGCACCUUCGGGUGUGUAUAGAGUGGCGAACGGCUGAGUAACACGUGGGCAACCUGCCCCUUUCAUUGGGAUAGCCACGGGAAACCGUGGAUAAUACCGAAUACUUCGAGACUUCCGCAUGGAAGACUCGAGAAAGCUCCGGCGGAGAGGGAUGGGCCCGCGGCCUGUUAGCUUGUUGGUGGGGUAACGGCCUACCAAGGCAAUGAUGGGUAGCUGGGUUGAGAGACCGACCAGCCAGAUUGGGACUGAGACACGGCCCAGACUCCUACGGGAGGCAGCAGUGGGGAAUCUUGCACAAUGGGCGAAAGCCUGAUGCAGCGACGCCACGUGCGGGAUGAAGGCCUUCGGGUUGUAAACCGCUUUCAGCAGGGACGAGGCGAAAGUGACGGUACCUGCAGAAGAAGCCCCGGCUAACUACGUG
rnacentral:rRNA from 1 species